GUUGCUAUUACAUAUUGUGAUUUUAGCGUCACCUUUCACCUUUCACUGUUGGUGCUCGGCCCAAGUUAAAGCGGACACGUUUACAUGAAUGAAAUUGUGAAAGAGAUGCGGAGCGGCAGCGAAACGUUGCUGCCACGGAACGUCACCGCCAUCUGUCGUCGGGCAAUCGCCUCCGCCGCGCAGGGAUCUCGCGAAUCUGCGCAUAAUCACGUGAUAAAGUAAACACUGAAGUAAACACUGCAGAACACAUCUCCAUUUUUGCCUGGCAGAACAACAAUAUAUUUUUUUUGUAGCAAGCAACAACAAAACAGUAACAUCAUCCCUGCUGGUAUUUGACAUAGGCUCCCAUACACCUGCCCGGGAUAUACCUGACAUGCUUCUUAAAUUUUGGACCACCAGAAUCAGCAUGAUUCAUUUGUGUCUGAAAACUUUUGACAAGUUGACUUCAUGUUCGUUCCCGCCCAUUAGGACGUUUCAAAGUGUAAAAUACAAUCUGCCUUGAUGAUGGACUAUUUUUUUAUUUUUUUUAUUUUGAAAGUAAACAUUUUGUCUCAGCUCUGCUCUUUUAAUGUCUUUAAUGUCCUUU